CAGGUAUAACAAUUCCAGUGCUUUAGGUGAAGUGGUGAUGUUUGUUAUUGUUGCUGUUAUUUUCUAUAUGGUAUUUAAGACAUGUACAUCCAACCGACAUAUAUAUCCUCUUUGUGUAUGUAAUGAACUUGGUCGUGAUAUCGAGAAUUAUCAUGAGCCUCAGGUUGUGUCAUUCGCCGAAGGCGUAGUUACACAAACAGAUACCUUGAUAAUUUAGAUAUCACGCGAUUUCAUUUCAAUAAUUAUUUUAUUACGCUUUAAGUUACCGUGGGGAAUCUUGUCAUGAUCUAUUCUUCAUGUAACAUGCUGGCUUUUGCUGUCGUGACGAUUAUUCUUUGGAGAAAUGACGUCACAUUUACAUGUAGAAAACUAACGAAACGUCGAAGUUCUCCUUGUAUUUUCAGGUAGUUGUAUCCCUAUCAAUCCCAAGCUUUCACGUUAUUACCACUAUACGUACCUACAAUGGGAUGACUGUUAAAAGUCAAGUAUAUAUAUUCAUGAUAAAUUAUGAAUUGCAUUAAGUUCUAUGCUCAGCGCGGAAAAUCUAGAAAUGUUUAUUAUUAAAUUCUAAUCUAACA
rnacentral:lncRNA from 1 species